UACGUCUUUCAUCGCAUGGUGAGAAGAAGAAAAGGACGGCCUCUACACAAAGGCGGUCGCCGAAGGAGGGGUUUGCGUCUGAUUAGCUAGGUUGGAGGGGUAACGGCCCAACAGGCGACGAUCAGUAGCCCCGGUCUGAGAGGAUGAACGGCCACAUUGGGACUGAGACACGGCCCAGACUCCUACGGGAGGCAGCAGUGGGAAUCUUCCGCAAUGGACGAAAGUCUGACGGAGCAACGCCGCGUGAGUGAAGACGGUCUUCGGAUUGUAAAGCUCUGUUAUACGGGACGAACGGCAAGGUGGUAAAUAGCCAUCAUGAGUGACGGUACCGUAAGAGAAAGCCACGGCUAACUACGUGCCAGCAGCCGCGGUAAU
rnacentral:rRNA from 1 species